rnacentral:rRNA from 1 species
AGUGAACGCUGGCGGUAGGCCUAACACAUGCAAGUCGAACGGCAGCACAGUAAGAGCUUGCUCUUACGGGUGGCGAGUGGCGGACGGGUGAGGAAUACAUCGGAAUCUACUUUUUCGUGGGGGAUAACGUAGGGAAACUUACGCUAAUACCGCAUACGACCUACGGGUGAAAGCAGGGGAUCUUCGGACCUUGCGCGAUUGAAUGAGCCGAUGUCGGAUUAGCUAGUUGGCGGGGUAAAGGCCCACCAAGGCGACGAUCCGUAGCUGGUCUGAGAGGAUGAUCCGCCACACUGGAACUGAGACACGGUCCAGACUCCUACGGGAGGCCGCAGUGGGGAAUAUUGGACAAUGGGCGCGAGCCUGAUCCAGCCCUACCGCGUGUGUGAAGAAGGCCUUCUGGUUGUAAAGCCCUUUUGUUGGGAAAGAAAAGCAGCAGGUUAAUACCCCACUGUUCUGACGGUACCCAAAGAAUAAGCACCGGCUAACUUCGUG